rnacentral:rRNA from 1 species
GACGAACGCUGGCGGCGUGCUUAACACAUGCAAGUCGAACGGAAAGGCCCUGCUUUUGUGGGGUGCUCGAAUGGCGAACGGGUGAGUAACACGUGAGUAACCUGCCCUUGACUUUGGGAUAACUUCAGGAAACUGGGGCUAAUACCGGAUAGGAGCUCCUGCUGCAUGGUGGGGGUUGGAAAGUUUCGGCGGUUGGGGAUGGACUCGCGGCUUAUCAGCUUGUUGGUGGGGUUGUGGCUUACCAAGGCUUUGACGGGUAGCCGGCCUGAGAGGGUGACCGGCCACAUUGGGACUGAGAUACGGCCCAGACUCCUACGGGAGGCAGCAGUGGGGAAUAUUGCAUAAUGGGCGGAAGCCUGAUGCAGCAACGCCGCGUGCGGGAUGACGGCCUUCGGGUUGUAAACCGCUUUCGCCUGUGACGAAGCGUGAGUGACGGUAAUGGGUAAAGAAGCACCGGCUAACUACGUG